rnacentral:rRNA from 1 species
GACGAACGCUGGCGGCGUGCUUAACACAUGCAAGUCGAACGGAAAGGCCCUGCUUUUGUGGGGUGCUCGAGUGGCGAACGGGUGAGUAACACGUGAGUAACCUGCCCUUGACUUUGGGAUAACUUCAGGAAACUGGGGCUAAUACCGGAUAGGAGCUCCUGCUGCAUGGUGGGGGUUGGAAAGUUUCGGCGGUUGGGGAUGGACUCGCGGCUUAUCAGCUUGUUGGUGAGGUAGUGGCUUACCAAGGCUUUGACGGGUAGCCGGCCUGAGAGGGUGACCGGCCACAUUGGGACUGAGAUACGGCCCAGACUCAUACGGGAGGCAGGAGUGGGGAAUAUUGCACAAUGGGCGGAAGCCGGAUGCAGCAACGCCGCGUGCGGGAUGACGGCCUUCGGGUUGUAAACCGCUUUCGCCUGUGACGAAGCGUGAGUGACGGUAAUGGGUAAAGAAGCACCGGCAAAUUACGU